UGCCGUCGGCGAAUCGGCGUCGGCGAAGGGCCAAUCGGGGUCAGAAGA
rnacentral:sRNA from 12 species